rnacentral:rRNA from 1 species
UACGGAGGGUGCAAGCGUUAUCCGGAUUCACUGGGUUUAAAGGGUGCGUAGGUGGGUUGGUAAGUCAGUGGUGAAAUCUCCCGGUGCUUAACAUGGAAACUGCCAUUGAUACUACUGGUCUUGAAUUUCUGGAGUUAAGCGGAAGUAAUGUCAUGUAGCGGUGAAAUGCUUAGAUAUGAACAUAGAACACCAAUUGCGAAAGGCAGCUUACUACAGGGAUAUUGACACUGAGGCACGAAAGCGUGGGGAGUCAAAACAGGAUUGAGAUACC